UACGGAGGUGGCAAGCGUUGCUCGGAAUCACUGGGCGUAAAGGGCGCGUAGGCGGGGAGGUAAGUCGGGUGUGAAAUCCCUCGGCCCAACCGAGGAACUGCGCCCGAGACUGCUUCUCUUGAGUCCCGGAGAGGAAGGUGGAAUUCCCGGUGUAGCGGUGAAAUGUGUAGAGAUCGGAAGGAACGCCCGUGGCGAAAGCGAGGUCCUGGAUGCCUACUGACGCUGAGACGCGAAAGCCAGGGGAGCGAACGGG
rnacentral:rRNA from 1 species